CCUACGGGUGGCAGCAGUCGAGAAUCAUUCACAAUGGGGGAAACCCUGAUGGUGCGACGCCGCGUGGGGGAAUGAAGGUCUUCGGAUUGUAAACCCCUGUCAUGUGGGAGCAAAUUAAAAAGAUAGUACCACAAGAGGAAGAGACGGCUAACUCUGUGCCAGCAGCCGCGGUAAUACAGAGGUCUCAAGCGUUGUUCGGAAUCACUGGGCGUAAAGCGUGCGUAGGCUGUUUCGUAAGUCGUGUGUGAAAGGCGCGGGCUCAACCCGCGGACGGCACAUGAUACUGCGAGACUAGAGUAAGGGAGGGGGAACCGGAAUUCUCGGUGUAGCAGUGAAAUGCGUAGAUAUCGAGCGGAACACUCGUGGCGAAGGCGGGUUCCUGGACAUUAACUGACGCUGAGGCACGAAGGCCAGGGGAGCGAAAGGGAUUAGAUACCCUUGUAGUC
rnacentral:rRNA from 1 species